UUCUUUCUUCUUUCUUUUCCUAUGUUUUUCUUCUAUUCUGCUCGAUGUGGGAGUUGUGAGUCAGAGUUAAUCAAGGGAAACCAACUGGUAGUACUGAUAGAUGAUUAAGAAGAUGGUGUGGUCAUUAAUUGUGAAGAAGAACAACUACGGUUUGAAUCACAGAGAAUCAGAAUUAGGGUCUGUAGAUUUUAUUAUUGUUCUAAAGAGUUAGAAGAUGGAAUUUAGAGUUAUGGUUGAUUGAAGAACAAAGGGUUAUCGUUUAAUUGAAGUUUAGAAGUGGUUUUGAUGAAGAACUGAAAGGCUAGGGUUUCUGUGAGUUCAAUUGGAGUUCGAUUAGGUGAUGAUUAAGAGGAAAACGAAGGAUGGGUAUUGAAGAACAUGAUGUGAAGAAGGAGGUGAUGGUUUUAGAUUGACGAUUUGUUGUCAAGAAGAACAAUAAUUGGGAUUUGAAGAAUUAGGGUUUCUGGGUUGAGGAUAAUGGUGAAGUUGGUUGAGAUGGUUAGUUGAAUUAUGUGAUAAAGAGAAAUGGAUCUCAGUUGCUUGAACAAGUUAAAUCAAGGACAUGGCAGAGUAGUUGAUGUUGAAAUGGUGGAGGCGCAUAUAGUUUUUUAUGUGCAUCUGAAGAGUGGGUUGAGGUUAUGGUGGUAUUAAAUGGUGCUACAGUUUUAGAUGGUACUGGUGCGCACAAGUAGUUGCAGAUGGUUGAGCUAAGAGAUGGAGUAAAUCUGCGGCUGAGCUGAGAAGAAAGAACUAGUACAGGAUUCAAGAAUUAGUUAUGGCGUUGAAUGGACCUGAAAUGGAUUGUUGCAAUGGUGGUGCUGAUAUUGGUGGUUCGAUUGUCGCAGGAAUGAAGGUACUGGCGAAGUUAUGCUAGGAGUUAGAAUUGCAGGGGUAAUGGUUUGGCUAGUGCAAGGUUUUACAGAAUGGUGAUGGACAAUGGAAAUUGGGGUUGUAAACUUUGAUAUGGAAGCUAUGUAUGUUGAGCUGAACCUAUAGAUGUAAUGAAGUUGCAGUUCAUGGAGUCAUGGAAAUACAGUAUUUGAUUUGAAUCAAUGAAGAGAUGAUUAAACUAUGUAUCUUGGCAAGAGGAGUUAGAAAUGCAUCAUUUGAGUCUUGUUCUGUUUU